GUGAGGAAUAUUGGUCAAUGGGCGAAAGCCUGAACCAGCCAUGUCGCGUGAAGGAUGAAGGUCCUAUGGAUUGUAAACUUCUUUUGCAGGAGGGUAAAGUGAGCUACGUGUAGUUCAUUGCAAGUACCCUGCGAAUAAGCAUCGGCUAACUCCGUCCCAGCAGCCGCGGUAAUACGGAGGAUGCGAGCGUUAUCCGGAUUUAUUGGGUUUAAAGGGUGCGUAGGCGGACUAAUUAGUCAGCGGUGAAAUUUUGCGGCUAAACCGUAAAACUGCCGUUGAAACUGUUAGUCUUGAGUGCGGUAGAGGUAGGCGAAAUGUGUGGUGUAGCGGUGAAAUGCUUAGAUAUCACACAGAACACCGAUUGCGUAGGCAGCUUACUGGAGCGCAACUGACGCUGAGGCACGAAAGCGUGGGGAUCGAACAGGAUUAGAUACCCGAGUAGUCC
rnacentral:rRNA from 1 species